GAUCAUGUUGCUUGAUCCCCUCUGCCCUGCAGCACUGAGAUCUCCUUGCACAGAUCCCAUGCUAGCGCAGGGCUUGUGGGUAGGCAGCCACAUC
ensembl:miRNA gga-mir-1646 gga-mir-1646